UAAGGAAUAUUGGACAAUGGGCGAAAGCCUGAUCCAGCCAUGCCGCGUGAAGGACGAAGGCGCUCAGCGUUGUAAACUUCUUUUGGAUGGGAACAAUAACUACGACUUGUCGUAGCUUGAGGGUACCAUCAGAAUAAGCACCGGCUAACUCCGUGCCAGCAGCCGCGGUAAUACGGAGGGUGCAAGCGUUAUCCGGAAUCACUGGGUUUAAAGGGUGCGUAGGCGGCCCAAUAAGUCAGUCGUGAAAUCGCUGGGCUCAACCCAUGCAAUUGCGAUUGAUACUGUUGGACUUGAAUGGGGUUGAGGCUGGCGGAAUGCGACAUGUAGCGGUGAAAUGCUUAGAUAUGUCGCAGAACACCGAUUGCGAAGGCAGCCAGCUGGGCCUUUAUUGACGCUGAGGCACGAAAGCGUGGGGAGCAAACAGG
rnacentral:rRNA from 1 species